GCGAGGGGGAGCAGGCAAGAGGAAGACCGCAGCAGAGUUACGCCUGGCAGGAAAGCGCCGGCAAAAUCCGCUCACGGGUCCAGGGCCCGCAGGGAGAGCGAAUCCGGCCCUGGGCCUUCGGCCGCUGGGACCGAGCUGCCCGGGGGGUCAUCAUCGGGGGAAGAGGGGUUGUGCGAGGACCAGUCGGAUGGGGAGCUGUCCGGUUCGGAGGAGGAGGUCGUGCCCAGGACGGUGCCUACAGCGAGGGAUUCCAGACGAUCGGCUGAUGGGAUUGCUUCCACGCAGCCCGGUACUGGACCUUUGUUGGUCUGGAUUUUGGGCCACUCUUACGUGGUUCGGGGGGAAAAACGGGCGGAGGCGCGCCCGUCCGGUCGGCAACUGGGGAUUUCGAGACAGGAGGCGAGGGUACGGUGGUUGGGGGUCCCCGGGAUGUUAUGGAGCAGAGUUGUGCCGGAGGUACACAAAUGGGCACGUUUGGACAGACCUCCGGAGGUGCUAGUGAUUCAUGCUGGGGGCAAUGAUCUUGGGGUGAGAUCUAUGCUGGAGAUAGCGCGGGAUAUUAAAUUCGAUUUUCAGCGGCUCCGGUUGUCUUUCCCGGAGACGGUAGUGGUGUGGUCGGACAUGGUGGCUAGGACAUCGUGGAGGAUGGCGAGGUCGGUAGACGCGGU